CCCUCCCACCCCUGCAAGGGCACCGGGGCCCUUCACGUCUGAUCAUCUCUGAUGUAAGGACGUCCAAUCACCUGUGGUCCUGGCUGCGUUUCCUAAUCAUCCUGGGGAAACGUUUGGCUCCCGGUGCAUGGAGGUGGUCUCAGUUUUUACUUCCUCCUGAGGGCCCACCACAAUCCUUUGGCAUCCCAGUGGUGUCAUCCAGAGUGCUGGCUAUCUGUCCUGGUCUCCAGGUAUCUGAUAGCUGAAAAGCAUACCAGCAGUGCUUUUUCUGAGUCACUGAUAAAAAAGGCAAGGGGCAGGGGCCAAGUAGAGCAGAUCCCUGGGACCUCCCCAAGACCUCCUGCCACAUGAACGUUGAACCAUCAGCAGCUACUCUUGGAGGCCCAUCAUUCAACCAGUUCAGAAUCCACCUCGUUGUCUGAGCCCCAGCCCACGUCUCUCCAGCUUCUCGGCAAGAAUGGCACCAGAUACUUCACUAAAAGCUUUGAUAACUUUGGGUAGACCUGUGGGCGCUGGGAGAGACAGAGAUCAAAAGCAUCCAGGGCUGGUUCCUUUACUUCCUUCGGGACCCAGCUCAGGGACAUUUCACCAAGUAGAGGAAGCUGUUCCUGCCCAUCCCAGCUGUUAGCGCACUCUGCUUCUUGAGCGACAUCUGUGCAUGUGGAAGAGAUCUUCCAUAACUCUAAAUCAGAGUUGGCUGACCAUUCAUGUGGGACAAGCUGAGGGGACGAAAACCCUGCUGGCAACCAGAGGCAGUGAAAUCAACAACCUGCGGUCCUGGGAGGAAGGGGAAAGAGUGUGUGCACGUAUGCACUUGUACCAUAUAGAUGUAUGUGCACGUGUGUUUGUGUGUGGAUACGUACAUGUAUAUGUAUGUGUAUGUUCUGUGUGUGCAUGUGUGUACUAAAUGCUGUGAAUACACAUGUGAAAAGACAGCUCCUGACCUCAAAGAGCUUACAAUCUAACAACAUAAAAUGAAGCUGAAAAGGGAGUCAGGGAGGAGGCACAUGAUGGAGAAAUCCAGAGA